CCUCUGGUUGUAACCGCUGUCAAGGGAGGGAACGUAUGGUGUUAACAGCGCCGUGCUUGACUGCUCCCUAAAGGAAGCCCGGCCAAACAUGUGC
rnacentral:rRNA from 1 species